AUCCUUUUCUGGUUCAUAAGCGUGAUGAUUGGGUUCUCAUGCGCUUGCGUGACAUGUGCCUUCCUCUAAACCUGUAAUCUUACCUACUUAGGUGGCUAAGAUCUGAGG
rnacentral:snoRNA from 1 species